CUUUGUGAGAAACCGGAGUGUGGAUUGGGUGUGGGCUGUGUGUGCCAUGAGCGUUCGUGUAUGCCCCCGUGUGCCAGUACUCGCACACCCACGUCCUGUGCUGGGGCUACUGACAAGGAGCUGGUCGCGUUCCCAGAAAUAUGCGUGGAUUCUGUGUUUCACCGCUCCUUACACCGAGGGUGUUUAUCAACCGCUGCCUGAAAACAAGAACAGGCUUUUGUGGCAUGCACACUCAUGUAACUGUGUCCUGUGGGGCCUGUGUCCAGCCCAUGUGUGUCCAGAUGCUGGCACUUGUCCCCAGGCCCUGAGAGCCUGGGGUCCCCGUGGUGCUGGAUGCUCUCCAGGGAGAUGUGCAAGCUGCAGUGACGCAGGAGCCCGUUGCUUGUUCUCACACAGCCCAUGGGCUGUCAAGGCCACUUCAGACCUUUGUCCCUGGGCCUGGUACCCUCUGUUACUGAACCAACCUUGCUCGCCAUGUAGCAAAGCCAACUUACUGACACUGUGGUGUGUGAAGAAAAGCACAGCGUUUAUUUGCAGGGCAACAAGCAAGGAGAAUGGACAGCUCAUGCUUGAAAGCCCCAACCCCUCACUGAUUUUCAGGGAAGGGGUUUUAAAGGCAACAUUUGGGACGAGGGUUGCAGCUCACGCGCCCUUCUUCUGAUUGGUUGGUGGUGAGCUAACAGAGUGGUGUUUUGGGAUUUUUGACCAACAGUCUUCUGGUUCCAGCCAGUCUGGGGUCUGCAUGCUUGUGAGUACAUCAUGUGAAAUGCCAGGCUGGAUGAAGCACAAGCUGGAAUCAAGAUUGCUGGGAGAAAUAUCAAUAAUCUCAGAUAUGCAGAUGAUACCACCCUUAUGGCAGAAAGUGAAGAGGAACUAAAGAGUCUUGAUGAAAGCAAAAGAAAGAGUGAAAAAGCUGGCUUAAAACUCAACAUUCAAAGAACUAAGAUCAUGCCAUCCAGUCCCAUCACUUCAUGGUGAACAGACGGGGAAGCAAUGGAAACAGCCAAACUCUGGUAGGGUUAAUGGUGGAAAUGGCGACCUCCUUCAAGAGGACUUAUGCCCGCAUGCUGCAGCUCCCAAGACUUCUGUGUUCAGUGCCCCUGACUCCAUGGCAGGCCUCUGUGGACCCACGCCUCUGCUGGAGACCCCUGGACACUCACAGUGCUCCUUCCAUCCAGAGCUCUCCUGCCCCCGUGGUCAGAAGGAAGAGGAGACCCAGCAAAAGGCCAGAUUCCAGCUGCUCGGAUUAGGUGGAAGAAAAGAAGACUGAAAUUUGCAGGAGGAGAUAUAGGAAGAUGUCUUUGUAUUCAUGAGAAGAGGAUGUUAGGAAAUAGAAGGAACAACGUGUCUCAGAGACUUAAACCACAGAGAGUGAUUUUGCCUUCAGGCUCUACAUGCAACCUAGGUCACACGGUCUCUUGUUCGACCCAGACACUCAGGGACUCAGGCUGACUGGGACCCUCCCGUCUGGGAUAACACAGCUGGGAAGACACACCGAGAGCCACACUCUGGCCCGUCUGUAUUUCGGCCCACUUGCUCAAAGCCUGUUGGUCAGAACCAAUCAUAUGACCCUGCACCGGUGUGGGGCAGUGUGGGAAGCAGGUUGAACGUUUAUGAACGCCACUGUUCCUGCCACAAACUCUAUCCUAGUACAUUAAAAUAUCAGAUGAAAUGGAUGAUUUUGAUGGAUGUAUAAAUUAGAAGAAUUGAUCCAAGAGAAAAGAAGUUGCAAGAGAUGCGCAGGAAGAAAUGGAAGAAAGAUUCUAAGAGUUACCUUCAAGAAAUGAGGCCCACCCAGGUGGUUUAGUGGCAGGAUAGUGAAUGUUUCUUGGGGGGUAAGAUGCUCCCAGAAUCCACUGGGGACUGUGCACCCUAUGUGGAGUCAACAGAAGGAAGCCAGGAGCAAGGGGCAGGAAGCGCCACCGCAGGGCAUUAGGGGAAGACGUGGGUCCCUGUCUCCCUCUCCAGUUACUCCCAGUCCAGUGGGGGUGCACUCAGGACCCUGCCACUUCUGUAAAUGCAAGCUGUUUACCUGGCAUUAUCCUGUCCUGGUUAAUUUCAUGUGUUAACUGGACCACAGUGUCCAGAUAUUUGGUUAAGCAUUGCUGUUGUUGUUCAGUCACUAAGUUGUGUCCAAAUCUCUGCGACCCUAUGGGCUUCAGCAUGCCAGGCUUCCCUGUCCUUCAUGGCCAAGGGCACUGCUGAGCUCUGGCCAGGAUGGUGCAGCCUGUGGGGUGCGGUGUGCUGCUGCUCCCAUGCCCCCAGCUCUUGCUCUGUGUGCUGCCUGCUCAAGACACCCACCCAGGCCUCUCUUGCUGUUCAGUUGCUCAGUCGUGUUUGACUUUGUGACCCUAUGGACUGCAGCAUGCCAGGCUUCCCUGUCCAUCACCAUUUCCUGGAGUUUGCUCAAACUCAGGUCCACUGAGUCAGUGAAGCCAUCCAGCCAUUGCAUCCUCUAUUGCCCCCUUCUCCUCCUGCCUUCAAUCUUUCCCAGUAUCAUCGUCUUUUCCAAUGAGUCAGCUCUUCACAUCAGGUGGCCAAAGUAUUGGAGCUUUGGUCAAGUAUUACUCUAUUUUUUUUUGGCCAUGCCACACAGCAUACUGGAUCUUAGUUCCUCAACUAGGUGGA
ensembl:lncRNA